AUUGAUACUAAGCCAUGCAGUCAUUGUAGCAAUACAAGGCAGACGGCUCAGUAACGCGUAGUCAAUCUACCCUAUGGACGGGAAUAACCUCGGGAAACUGAGAAUAAUGCCCGAUAGAACAUUAUGCCGGGAAUGGUUUAUGUUUCAAAUGAUUUAUCGCCAUAGGAUGGGACUGCGGCCUAUCAGUUUGUUGGUGAGGUAAUGGCCCACCAAGACUAUUACAGGUACGGGCUCUGAGAGGAGUGGCUCGGAGAUGGGUACUGAGACACGGACCCAGGCCCUAUGGGGCGCAGCAGGCGAGAAAACUUUGCAAUGUGCGAAAGCACGACAAGGUUAAUCCGAGUGGUUUCUGCUAAAGAAACCUUUUGUCAGUCCUAGAAACACUAACGAAUAAGGGGUGGGCAAGUUCUGGUGUCAGCCGCCGCGGUAAAACCAGCACCUCAAGUGGUCAGGAUGAUUAUUGGGCCUAAAGCAUCCGUAGCUCGUUUUGUAAGUUUUCGGUUAAAUCCAUACGCUUAACGUAUGGGCUGCCGGGAAUACUGCAUAACUAGGAAGUGGGAGAGGUAGACGGUACUCGGUAGGAAGGGGUUCAAUCCUUUGAUCUAUUGAUGACCACCUGUGGCGAAGGCGGUCUACCAGAACACGUUCGACGGUGAGGGAUGAAAGCUGGGGGAGCAAACCGGAUUAAAUACCCGGGUUCUCCCAGCUGUAAACUAUGCAAACUCAGUGAUGCAUUGGCUUGUGACCAAUGCAGUGCUGCAGGG
rnacentral:rRNA from 1 species